rfam:Dipodomys ordii contig_4348, whole genome shotgun sequence.
UGGGAGGUGGCUCAGUGGUAGAGUGCUUGCCUUGCAUGCAUGAGGCCUUGGGUUCGAUACCUCAGCACCACAU